AGUGAACGCUGGCGGUAGGCCUAACACAUGCAAGUCGAACGGCAGCACAGUAAGAGCUUGCUCUUACGGGUGGCGAGUGGCGGACGGGUGAGGAAUACAUCGGAAUCUACUUUUUCGUGGGGGAUAACGUAGGGAAACUUACGCUAAUACCGCAUACGACCUACGGGUGAAAGCAGGGGAUCUUCGGACCUUGCGCGAUUGAAUGAGCCGAUGUCGGAUUAGCUAGUUGGCGGGGUAAAGGCCCACCAAGGCGACGAUCCGUAGCUGGUCUGAGAGGAUGAUCAGCCACACUUGAACUGAGACACGGUCCAGACUCCUACGGGAGGCAGCAGUGGGGAAUAUUGGACAAUGGGCGCAAGCCUGAUCCAGCCAUACCGCGUGGGUGAAGAAGGCCUUCGGGUUGUAAAGCCCUUUUGUUGGGAAAGAAAAGCAGCAGGUUAAUACCCCGCUGUUCUGACGGUACCCAAAGAAUAAGCACCGGCUAACUGCGU
rnacentral:rRNA from 1 species